rnacentral:rRNA from 1 species
CCUACGGGAGGCAGCAGUGAGGAAUAUUGGUCAAUGGACGAGAGUCUGAACCAGCCAAGUAGCGUGAAGGAUGACUGCCCUAUGGGUUGUAAACUUCUUUUAUAUGGGAAUAAAAUGUUCCACGUGUGGGAUUUUGUAUGUACCAUAUGAAUAAGGAUCGGCUAACUCCGUGCCAGCAGCCGCGGUAAUUCGGAGGAUCCGAGCGGUAUCCGGAUUUAUUGGGUUUAAAGGGAGCGUAGGUGGGUUGUUAAGUCAGUUGUGAAAGUUUGCGGCUCAACCGUAAAAUUGCAGUUGAAACUGGCAGUCUUGAGUACAGUUGAGGUGGGCGGAAUUCGUGGUGUAGCGGUGAAAUGCUUAGAUAUCACGAAGAACUCCGAUUGCGAAGGCAGUUCACUGGACUGCAACUGACACUGAGGCUCGAAAGUGUGGGUAUCAAACAGGAUUAGAUACCCUUGUAGUC